GACAAACGCUGGCGGCGUGCCUAAAACAUGCAAGUCGAACGGUCACUUCGGUGGUAGUGGCGGACGGCUGAGUAACACGUGGGUAACCUACCCGGGCGUGGGGAAUAACCCGCCGAAAGGCGGGCUAAUACCGCAUACGAUCCGGUUCUUUUGGGAGUCGGAGGAAAGCAGCGAUGCGCGCUCGGCUGGGCCUGCGGCCGAUUAGCUAGUUGGUGGGGUAAGGGCCUACCAAGGCGAUGAUCGGUAGCUGGUCUGAGAGGAUGAUCAGCCGGACUGGGGCUGGGACACGGCCCAGACUCCUACGGGAGGCAGCAGUUAGGAAUCUUGGGCAAUGGGCGGAAGACUGACCCAGCAACGCCGCGUGGGUGACGAAGGCCUUCGGGUCGUAAAGCCCUUUUCCCGGGGACGAUGAUGACGGUACCCGGGGAAUAAGCCCCGGCUAACUACGUGCCAGCCGCCGCGGUAAAAC
rnacentral:rRNA from 1 species